AACGAACGCUGGCGGCAUGCCUAACACAUGCAAGUCGAACGAGACCUUCGGGUCUAGUGGCGCACGGGUGCGUAAAGCGUGGGAACCUGCCCUUAGGUUCGGAAUAACUCCCCGAAAGGGGUGCUAAUACCGGAUAAUGUCUUCGGACCAAAGAUUUAUCGCCUUUGGAUGGGCCCGCGUUGGAUUAGUUAGUGGGUAGGGUAAAAGCCUACCAAGGCGACGAUCCAUAGCUGGUCUGAGAGGAUGAUCAGCCACACUGGGACUGAGACACGGCCCAGACUCCUACGGGAGGCAGCAGUGGGGAAUAUUGGACAAUGGGCGAGAGCCUGAUCCAGCAAUGCCGGGUGAGUGAUGAAGGCCUUAGGGUUGUAAAGCUCUUUUAACCGGGAUGAUAAUGACAGUACCGGGAGAAUAAGCUCCGGCUAACUACGUG
rnacentral:rRNA from 1 species